AUACGGAGGGUGCAAGCGUUAUUCGGAAUCACUGGGCGUAAAGGACGCGUAGGCGGGUUGGCAAGUCAGAUGUGAAAUCCUACAGCUUAACUGUAGAACUGCAUUCGAAACUGCUAACCUAGAGUAUGGGAGGGGGAGAUGGAAUUAGUGGUGUAGGGGUAAAAUCCGUAGAUAUCACUAGGAAUACCGAAAGCGAAGGCGAUCUCCUGGAACAUAACUGACGCUAAGGCGUGAAAGCGUGGGGAGCAAACAGGAUUAGAAACCCCGGUAGUCC
rnacentral:rRNA from 1 species